rnacentral:rRNA from 1 species
CAGCGGCGGACGGGUGAGUAACACGUGGGUAACCUGCCUGUAAGACUGGGAUAACUCCGGGAAACCGGGGCUAAUACCGGAUGCUUGAUUGAACCGCAUGGUUCAAUCAUAAAAGGUGGCUUUCAGCUACCACUUACAGAUGGACCCGCGGCGCAUUAGCUAGUUGGUGAGGUAACGGCUCACCAAGGCGACGAUGCGUAGCCGACCUGAGAGGGUGAUCGGCCACACUGGGACUGAGACACGGCCCAGACUCCUACGGGAGGCAGCAGUAGGGAAUCUUCCGCAAUGGACGAAAGUCUGACGGAGCAACGCCGCGUGAGUGAUGAAGGUUUUCGGAUCGUAAAACUCUGUUGUUAGGGAAGAACAAGUACCGUUCGAAUAGGGCGGCACCUUGACGGUACCUAACCAGAAAGCCACGGCUAACUACGUGCCAGCAGCCGCGGUAAUACGUAGGUGGCAAGCGUUGUCCGGAAUUAUUGGGCGUAAAGCGCGCGCAGGCGGUUUCUUAAGUCUGAUGUGAAAGCCCCCGGCUCAACCGGGGAGGGUCAUUGGAAACUGGGGAACUUGAGUGCAGAAGAGGAGAGUGGAAUUCCACGUGUAGCGGUGAAAUGCGUAGAGAUGUGGAGGAACACCAGUGGCGAAGGCGACUCUCUGGUCUGUAACUGACGCUGAGGCGCGAA